AAUAUAAAUAGUAAAUUUUCUAUUGUUAAAUAUAUUUCGAUCGACGGAACUGACAUUAAAGAAUGGUUGAAGGUUAAAUUACUUCGAUUGAUUUUAAUAAUAAUAACGAUAUUUGUUAAAAUAAUGUUUUAAAAAUUAUAUAAAAAACAAUCUCGUUUAGAUAAUUGGCGAAGUGAAGGAUUUAAUUCCUUCGUAUUUCCAAACAAACGAAGAGAUUCCAGCAGAAAUGUAAACUUAAACUGGAUACAAUUCAAUCCGUCGGAGAAGGAUUGCGUUCGAUAUCCAGUGUUACCCUUGCAGUUGUCUAAAUGUAGAGAAUGGCUACAUCUCACCAGUUUUUCAAUAGUAUCGAUCCUCGCUAAACUAUAAUGAAGAGUCAGGUGAAUUUGCUGUACGUUUCUUUAACAAUCGGAUAUCAGUAUAAAACUAGUAAAUAGGAAAUUGUAUUCUUGCAUUUUUUAUUCAAAGUACUAGACUGUGGUACGAUUUGAGAUUAGUUAUAUGUAGAUCAUAACUAGGACAGUUCGAUAAACUGCAACCAUUUUGAAACGACUGGCGAGCAGUUUUUUUAAGUGGAAACAUCAUUAAGAUUUCGAGAAGUUUCUGUUGAGUUUUAAAAAUUAAAUAUGAUAUAAUUUUAUUUAUUGGAAUAGAAUAUUGGAUGAUGAUAAUUUUUUUUAUUUUUAUAAAAGAACAAAUGACUGUUUUAUGGUAACGCGCAUUUAUGAUAAAUUGUUUUUCUUCUCAUACAAGUUAGUAGUUAUAUUAACUUAAAUGCAAGCUUAUAUGCAUUUAAGCAGGCGAGUUAUACGAAUGAAUUGGAAAAGAUUUGGAAUAGAAAGAAUCAUUUAAAUGAUUGAAAUUCGAUGUUUGCAUCACGCACUUAAUACACGAACCAGUUUCUAUCGGCCAACGAACUCCAGCCAUCUGGUGUUGUACUUUCUUCAUCUUUAAGCGUCUGGUCCCAUGAAUUCUGACUAGACCAGAUGCUUUUCUUGUUAUAAUUUCUGCUCUUACAAAUACCAAGAAAGAGAACCGAAUUCAGAUCUAUCUAAUAUGCUUAUUUGCAUAACUAUUAAACGCACUGUUAAACGAUAUUUCUUAUUACUUAUAUAUUUUUUGUCAUUUUUCUUGUCUUAUAUUAUUUCGGAAGUCAGUUUUGAUUCAGUUCCAGUUAGUUUUUUCUCUGUUUUUAUUUGCGUUAUUGCUCUUAUGUCGAUCGAUGAAUGUAGGAGACGUCGACGUUGUCAAUUUGAUUAAGUUGGCACAAAAGGAAAGUGAGCCUGUUAAGCUAGACAUUUGCCGACAUCAAGAUGGCGGUUCUGUCCUGUUAAUUUCUCCACGUAGAUCAGCCGUAGGCUGCCUGCCGAGUGAGAGAGACAAACAUUACUUUCCUAGUUCGAUCGAUGCUCGGAAAAUCUUCAGCUAGACAAUAGCGCCUCUUAUUACAGCUACAUACUGUCUCUCUGGAAUCGUAUCUCGAAUUUUAACUCGUAAUUCUUUGCUAGUGCAUAUAUCAUUUUCUUUACUCCUAUUAAUCGUUGGUACAAAUAUCCAUGGUGCAUUAACUUGUGAGUUACUUCGCUUUCUUGUACCGAAAGGAUCCGAUUUGAGAUCGUGUUUAUCAAAUAUUGACAAGAGAAAAAUUUAAGACUAAUGGUAAUAUGUUUAUAUUUUAGUAGUUGAAAAGUGUACUAAUUUAUAUGAAAC
rnacentral:lncRNA from 1 species